ACCUGGGUGGCUCAGUCGGUUGGGCGUCUGACUUCAGCUCAGGUAAUGGUUUCAUAGUUUGUGGGUUUGAGCCCCACAUUGGGCC
rnacentral:tRNA from 1 species